rnacentral:lncRNA from 1 species
GGAAGAACCUUGUUAAAUGGACAGGGAUAACUACUGGAGGUGACAGAAGACACGUGCAGGUUUCAGGAAGGACAGCAGAACUGCCGGUAAAUACGAACCUACCCUUCCCAUUGCAGGUUCGGCGUUUGUGCCCUACCCUUGCCUGCCCAGCCUUCCUUCCUCCUCACACUCGCUGCUACCCACUGACCGAGGCGCUGAGCAGAAGUAGCAAUCGCUUACCGGCCUGCAGCCCGGCCCCGAGGCUCCCAGCCCUGCCGGCCCCGGCCCACCACACUCCUCUUGCCGGGGCACCUCUCUAAUCACCCCCCAGCCCGGGGAGGGAGCACUGACUGGGGUGGCCCGGCCGCAGGGUGAAGUCACCCGGUGACCCUGUCACCAAAAGGCCUCACCGUUUUUGGCAAGCCCAGCAGAACAGGGAUUCCCAACUGCUCAGCUCCUUCCAAGGCAAAGCUCCCUGGCUGGGAAAGGCCUCUGGUACAGUGUAUCCCACUGUCACCGCUUCAGAGCGAUCCACUGAGCUGGGAUUGGAACACACUGUGGAAGUGAUCCCACUCCUGACACCCUGCCAGCUAUCACAAGAUGCACAUUCACAGCUGCAAUAUAAUGUGGUUUCACUGAAGUCAGUAAUCUUAGGACCAGAUUCGCAAACCGAGAUCCAGCAGACAUUUGCAGGAAACAUAUCCCCUGUCUUGUGCAGCUCAUAGUCCUCAAUCCUUUCUGGAGGAGACUUCCUCUCCUACCAGCAAGGAUCAACUGCCGACAUCACCUGCUACUUUUCCUCCAUGCCUUAAGUGCUCAUCUCAACGCAGAACACAUCAAUUCCCAGAUCUGGAAGUCUUAAGCCCUCAGUUCUCGCUUAUUAGGGCUCCUAAUCACUGGGCUGUUCUCAUGGGGAAAAAUCCCCACCCCACCCCUCCUUUGAAGGCAUUUCACUUUGCAUAAAAAUGCACUAGGCCGGGGGAAGGAGAAGGAAGGAACGAGACUAUUAAGUCUGCUGGUUGCGGUGCUUGCCAAAGCCUGGAGCUCCCAUCUCCCAGUCAGCAGCGCUCAGAAGCAGAUUUAAUCAGGUUCCCACCAAGUCUUCCUUCACCCAAGAGAAAAAACGUUCUGCACGAAAAAGAGGCUGACCAUGUGGUGACAAAGCAGUAGGAUAAGAGGAUGGCCAAUUGGAAAAGAGGCACCUGGGCAUCUGUUGCACCAAAUACAGCAUGUUGUGUGAUGAAAAGAUGGUCGCUCUUCAAAAGAAGAAGUUCCAGUAUUUGCUAAAACAGUUCUAUACAGGUUAAUACUCGAAUAUCUGUAGUAGGCCUUGCCAGGGGAAGUUUCCAGGAACAGUACUAAAUUUAUGAUGAAUGGCAACAGAUGGUCAUUGGAAAUAGUAACUUAAGGAAACGUGAUAUGACUACG